CUUCCUCUAUUGACGUCUUGAACUCCUCAAAGUCAUCCAUGAGGGUUGGAAUAAACUUCUUCCAAACCCCUGUUAGUCUUUUAUUUUGACCUCCUCUCAUGAAUCACAAAUGUUCUUAGUGGCAUGUAAAAUGGCAAAUCCUUUCCAGACAGUUUUCAAUUUACUUUGCCCCAAUCCAUCAGAGGAAUCACAAUCUACAGCCUUAUGGAACAUAUUUCUUAAAUAUUAGGACUUGAAAGUUGAAAUUACUCCUUGAUCCAUGAGCUGCAGAAUGAAUGCUGUGUUGGCAGGCAUGAAAACGACAUUCAUCUUGUGCAUGUCUGUCACAGCUCUUGGGUGACCACUGACGUUAUCAAUGAGCAGUAGUAAGAGAUGUGCUGUCAUCCAGGCACUGUUGUUCCAUUUUGAGAGCACAAGCAGAUUAGGUUUAGCAUAAUUCUUAAGGGCUCUAGUAUUUUCAGAAUGGUCAAUGAGCAUUGGCUUCCACUUAAAGUCACCAGCUGCAUUUUAGCCUCUAAUAAGUGAGUCAGCCUGUCUUUUGUAGCUUUGAAGCCAGACAUUGACUUCUCUCUAACUAUGAAAGUCUUAGAUGGCAU
rnacentral:lncRNA from 1 species